CUUCUUCUUAUUAUUCUUUUUCUUUUUUACUAUACUCAUGCAUUCACACCUCAACACGCCCACAUACUCUUGAAGCACUCUCUUCAUUUGAAUAGGGUACAAAAAGUUGAAGCAUGGGUUUGGCAUGAGGGUUCCAAGAUCAAUGUUGAGAUUCUUCAAUCAGUGAGAUUUUUCCAUAUAAGUCAUAUUGGUCUUGUUUCGAGUCUAUAUAGUUUGUCGGUUCUAAAUGAAGACCAACUUGUUUAGAUUUGUCUGGCAUAAGCAAUCACAAUUGAAUUUGAUGGACGAGAAGAUAGUAGCUGUCGCACUACAAGCAUUUCAAAAAGUUAUGUGUGACACCAGCUUAUUAGAGACCCAAAAAAGCGGCUGACCACCUAUGAAGUUCUGUGUGGGUGUUUUUUUUAAAGCUAUAUCAAGGUUUAUAAUUUAGAGAUCUUGACAGUGGUGAAAUAUUUAUGACUGUGAAAAAUAAUUUAAGGUUAGCUCAUUUCUACUUAAAACAUCGAAUAACUAGAUAAAUAAGCUAGUAUGUACAUUGAUCAGUUGGUAGUUUUUUGGAUUUAUCUCGUUAAUAUUGUAUUCAUUAUAUUUUUCUAGAGGCAAAUCAUCUUUCCAACCAGAGUGGUUGCUGCAGUUGGAUAUAGACUCAUUGACUUGAAGCUGAUUUUUUUCUCUGCAUUAGGUAAAAGAUACAAUAAAAGUGGAUUUUUUUAGCUCCUUCUCAUGAUUCCAGGAAUAUCAUCUCUUCUUGAGGUGAAUGUAGAAGGACAUCAAGUUUCGUCUACUGGAUUUCAGAAGGGUGUUGUAGGAAGCAUAGAUCCAUUGCCAAAAUAUCAGAUUUGAGGAGUCACUGGCUGAGGCAUCAUAAUCUGAGACAUGACCUUCAAGAACACAGCAGACCUUAAAAUGUCACAAGCAGUCGCCUUCCGAUCAGACUCCGACCUCUCAGUCUACUACCGGUGUGGAUUCCAUGGUUACCAAGACACUCUCUACACUCACUUUCUUUUGAAUGAAUGAAGGAUUGUAAUUGAUUCAUUAUUGAAUGAAUGAUUGUAAUUAAAUGAAUGAAAGAUUGUAAUUGAAUGAAUGAAUGAUUGUAAUUGA